CCUCUACAGAGCUGCUAGUUUUGGUGUUUUUCUUCACGCACGCAAAUAUCAAUAUCAUAUUCGCUGUCUGUCUGUGUUCCAGGGGUGGUCUGAGCAACAAGCUCUUUCUGUGCAGCCUCCCCGACAGCCUGAACUGUGUUGGGGACGAGCCGAGGAGCGUCCUGCUGCGCCUCUAUGGGGCCAUCCUGCAGGCUUCCCAAAGGAGCGUGCCUUGGGCGCUCUUGUUCCCAGGUGAACCCACCCAAAAACACGAUGUCCUGUAAUAAAGGGGAUUCUCGAGAGUCAAACAAAGAAAAUCACUUGCAAGUAAGUAACAGACGACAGUUUCUCUACUCAGAGUGUACGUCCACAGCAACACUCGACUCACAUGUGUGUGCCCCCCUCCC